ensembl:lncRNA
UCUUUACCAGGGUCUGUUGUGAUAGGACAAGGGGAAAUGGUUUCAAACUGAAAGAGCUGCUGCAACCUGCCAAGGAAUCCAGUUCAGCAGUCCAGCAAUCUUGCCAUUACCCGAAACUUGCAAUGAAACCUUCGUCAUGCAGCCAGUCAUUUAUUCACAGCCUACCAGCAUCCCAUAAACUUUACUCUUCUCACUUCUUUACUUUGUGGAGUUUGAUAAUUUCUGUUUUUAAACACUAUCAUACACCUGUAGCCUGUGCUUCCCCCUAAGUUUAGCCCCACAGGUAGUGAGGUCUCCUUCUUCAAUGCAGUUUACCAUCAUCAGACAUGUCCUAGAUGGCUCUCUUAGACAUUCCAGAUAAUUCUGAGAAGCUGACUGGCAAACACCCAGUCUUUUUGUUCUGUAACA